GCUGCGGUGGUGUGUGCGUGUAAUUCAAGGUAGCAGAAGGCUGGAGGAUUGUUUGAGCUCAGAGCCUCUGAGCUACAUUGGACUAUGCUGGUCGGGUGUCCGCACUAAGUUCGAUAUUGAUAUGGCUCCUGGGGGAGCCCGAGACCACCAGGUUGUCUAAAGAGAUGUGCACUAGCCCAGGUUGGAGACGGAGCAGUUCAAAUCCUUCUCGCUCAGUAGUGGGGUUGAGCUUUGGAUAGAUGUUGUGUUGCAGCCUGAGUCAAGUGUAAUUUUUCU
rnacentral:SRP_RNA from 1 species